CCUACGGGAGGCAGCAGUGAGGAAUAUUGGUCAAUGGACGAGAGUCUGAACCAGCCAAGUAGCGUGAAGGAUGACUGCCCUAUGGGUUGUAAACUUCUUUUAUAUGGGAAUAAAACGUUCCACGUGUGGGAUUUUGUAUGUACCAUAUGAAUAAGUAUCGGCUAACUCCGUGCCAGCAGCCGCGGUAAUACGGAGGAUCCGAGCGUUAUCCGGAUUUAUUGGGUUUAAAGGGAGCGUAGGUGGAUUGUUAAGUCAGUUGUGAAAGUUUGCGGCUCAACCGUAAAAUUGCAGUUGAAACUGGCAGUCUUGAGUACAGUAGAGGUGGGCGGAAUUCGUGGUGUAGCGGUGAAAUGCUUAGAUAUCACGAAGAACUCCGAUUGCGAAGGCAGUUCACUGGACUGCAACUGACACUGAGGCUCGAAAGUGUGGGUAUCAAACAGGAUUAGAUACCCCUGUAGUC
rnacentral:rRNA from 1 species